AUACGGAGGGUGCAAGCGUUAUUCGGAAUCACUGGGCGUAAAGGACGCGUAGGCGGGUUGGCAAGUCAGAUGUGAAAUCCUACAGCUUAACUGUAGAACUGCAUUUGAAACUGCUAACCUAGAGUAUGGGAGGGGGAGAUGGAAUUAGUGGUGUAGGGGUAAAAUCCGUAGAUAUCCCUAGGAAUACCGAAAGCGAAGGCGAUCUCCUGGAACAUAACUGACGCUCAGGCGUGAAAGCGUGGGGAGCAAACAGGAUUAGAUACCCUAGUAGUCC
rnacentral:rRNA from 1 species